rnacentral:rRNA from 1 species
CCCUUAGAUGUUCUGGGCCGCACGCGUGCUACACUGAACGGUUCAAUGGGUAAGGUAGUGCGAAAGCAUGACCUAAUCUCGAAAUCCGUUCGUGCUGGGGAUAGAAGCUUGCAAUUAUCCUUCUUGAACGAGGAAUACCUUGUAAGCGUGAGUCAUCAUCUCACGCUGAAUACGUCCCUGCCCUUUGUACACACCGCCCGUCGCUCCUACCGAUUGAGUGUUCCGGUGAGGCUUUGGGAGAAUGGCCUCAACAUGAGUUUAUCGUGUUUUGCCGUUUGAACUUAGUCAAACCUUAGCACUUAGAGGAAGGAGAAGUCGUAACA